AUGGGGAGGAAGAAGUCAACCUGAUCGGGGCCACUGAAAAUACAGAAGGUCACCACCUCAAGCCCAGCGCUGACAUAUCUGCACAUGCUUGAGAAAGGCCCUUAACCCCCAGCUCCAUGGAUACCACAACCAGUAGCUGCCCUUCACAGUCAACUUGCUCCAGCUACAGAGAAUCCUGUAUUGACAAGUGAGUUGAACCUCCAUAAAGCCUCCUUCAGCUCAUCCCAAAGACCUUCAAUGAGGUUAAAGUCACAACUCUGUGGUGACCAAGUCAUCCGUGAAAAUGAUUCCUCUUGCU